GCCGGAGUGGCGGAAUGGCAGACGCAGCGGACUCAAAAUCCGCCGAGGGCAACCUCAUGAGAGUUCAACCCUCUCCUCCGGCACCA
rnacentral:tRNA from 1 species